CGGCGGACGGGUGAGUAACGCGUGGGUAACCUGCCUCAUACAGGGGGAUAACAGUCAGAAAUGACUGCUAAUACCGCAUAAGACCACGGUACUGCAUGGUACAGUGGUAAAAACUCCGGUGGUAUGAGAUGGCCCCGCGUCUGAUUAGGUAGUUGGUGAGGUAACGGCCCACCAAGCCGACGAUCAGUAGCCGACCUGAGAGGGUGACCGGCCACAUUGGGACUGAGACACGGCCCAG
rnacentral:rRNA from 1 species